rnacentral:rRNA from 1 species
AUUGAACGCUGGCGGCAGGCCUAACACAUGCAAGUCGAGCGCGCGGCGGAUGGGUGAGUAAUGUCUGGGAAACUGCCUGAUGGAGGGGGAUAACUACUGGAAACGGUAGCUAAUACCGCAUACCAUCAGAUGUGCCCCGAUGGGAGUAGCUAGUAGGUGGGGUAACGGCUCACCUAGGCGACGAUCCCUAGCUGGUCUGAGAGGAUGACCAGCCACACGGGAACUGAGACACGGGCCAGACUCCUACGGGAGGCAGCAGUGGGGAAUAUUGCACAAUGGGCGCAAGCCUGAUGCAGCCAUGCCGCGUGUGUGAAGAAGGCCUUCGGGUUGUAAAGCACUUUCAGCGGGGAGGCGUUACCCGCAGAAGAAGCACCGGCUAACUCCGUGCCAGCAGCCGCGGUAAUAC